CUACGGGAGGCUGCAGUGGGGAAUAUUGCACAAUGGGCGCAAGCCUGAUGCAGCAACGCCGCGUGGGGGACGAAGGCCUUCGGGUUGUAAACCUCUUUUAGUAGGGAAGAAGCGCAAGUGACGGUACCUACAGAAAAAGCACCGGCUAACUACGUGCCAGCAGCCGCGGUAAUACGUAGGGUGCAAGCGUUGUCCGGAAUUAUUGGGCGUAAAGAGCUCGUAGGCGGUUUGUCGCGUCUGCUGUGAAAAUCCGAGGCUCAACCUCGGACCUGCAGUGGGUACGGGCAAACUAGAGUGCGGUAGGGGAGAUUGGAAUUCCUGGUGUAGCGGUGGAAUGCGCAGAUAUCAGGAGGAACACCAAUGGCUAAGGCAGAUCUCUGGGCCGUAACUGACGCUGAGGAGCGAAAGCGUGGGGAGCGAACAGGAUUAGAUACCCUGGUAGUC
rnacentral:rRNA from 1 species